CAGUAGCCACGGGAAUACAGAGGGUGCAAGCGUUAAUCGGAGUUACUGGGCGUAAAGGGCGCGUAGGCGGCUUGACAAGUCUUGUGUGAAAUCUAUGGGCUCAACCCAUAGUCUGCACGGGAAACUGUCGGGCUUGAGAAUGGGAGAGGUGAGUGGAAUUUCCGGUGUAGCGGUGAAAUGCGUAGAUAUCGGAAGGAACACCUGUGGCGAAAGCGGCUCACUGGACCAUUUCUGACGCUGAUGCACGAAAGCUAGGGGAGCAAACAGGAUUAGAUACCCGUGUAGUCCCUGUCUCUUAUAC
rnacentral:rRNA from 1 species